rnacentral:sRNA from 1 species
GAGGGUCCGAGCGUUAUCCGGAAUCAUUGGGUUUAAAGGGUCCGCAGGCGGUCUAUUAAGUCAGAGGUGAAAUCCCAUAGCUCAACUAUGGAACUGCCUUUGAUACUGGUUGACUUGAGUCAUAUGGAAGUAGAUAGAAUGUGUAGUGUAGCGGUGAAAUGCAUAGAUAUUACACAGAAUACCGAUUGCGAAGGCAGUCUACUACGUAUGUACUGACGCUGAGGGACGAAAGCGUGGGGAGCGAACAGGAUUAGAUACCCUGGUAGUCCACGCCGUAAACGAUGGAUACUAGUUGUUGGGAUUUAUCUCAGUGACUAAGCGAAAGUGAUAAGUAUCCCACCUGGGGAGUACGGUCGCAAGACUGAAACUCAAAGGAAUUGACGGGGGCCCGCACAAGCGGUGGAGCAUGUGGUUUAAUUCGUUGAUACGCGAGGAACCUUACCAGGGCUUAAAUGUAGUCUGACAACUUUAGAGAUAGAGUUUUCUUCGGACAGAUUACAAGGUGCUGCAUGGUUGUCGUCAGCUCGUGCCGUGAGGUGUCAGGUUAAGUCCUAUAACGAGCGCAACCCCUGUCGUUAGUUGCCAGCAUGUUAUGAUGGGGACUCUAACGAGACUGCCUACGCAAGUAGAGAGGAAGGUGGGGAUGACGUCAAAUCAUCACGGCCCUUACGUCCUGGGCCACACACGUGCUACAAUGGUAUGGACAAUGAGCAGCCAUCUGGCAACAGAGAGCGAAUCUACAAACCAUAUCACAGUUCGGAUCGGAGUCUGCAACUCGACUCCGUGAAGCUGGAAUCGCUAGUAAUCGGAUAUCAGCCAUGAUCCGGUGAAUACGUUCCCGGGCCUUGUACACACCGCCCGUCAAGCCAUGGAAGCUGGGAGUGCCUGAAGUCGGUCACCGCAAGGAGCCGCCUAGGGUAAAACUGGUAACUAGGGCUAAGUCGUAACAAGGUAGCCGUACCGGAAGGUGCGGCUGGAACACCUCCUUUCUAGAGAAAGAUGGUGAGUUACAAAAGGUUCAUUUUUACUCUUUGCUGUUAAUUUUGUAAAACAAGUAUUAAGCUAUUAUAGUCUCGUAGCUCAGCUGGUUAGAGCGCUACACAGAUAAUGUAGAGGUCGGCAGUUCGAGUCUGCCCGGGACUACAAAUACUUAAUAUUAAGGAAAUUCUAGAAGUUGAGGAAUUUAGUUGUAAGUGAUUCGUGUUUAAUUUUGAAUUAAAUUAUACACGCACUAAUAACUAACAACUAAUCACUCAUAACUAAAAAUGGGGGAUUAGCUCAGUUGGCUAGAGCGCUUGCCUUGCACGCAAGAGGUCAUCGGUUCGACUCCGAUAUUCUCCACCAGGCAAUGCCUGGAGAUGAUUUAUUGUCUCUAGAUUAUUGCAGGCGAGUACUAUUGAUAAUUUAGAUUGUCAGUGGUGACUCACCACAACGUUCAUUGACAUAUUGGUAAAAUGAUGUCGUAAGAAUCAAAUAGAUAGAGAUGUUUAUAAUAGCAGUAUUCUAGACGGAUUAAAAUUUUUUUAUAAAGAAUAAAAGAGUUCAUUGUAAUCGCAAGAUUACAGCAAAAAGUACAAUAAGCUAAGUAAGGGCGUAUGGCGGAUGCCUAGGCUCUCAGAGACGAUGAAGGACGCGAUAAGCUGCGAAAAGCUACGGGGAGGGGCACAUACCUUUUGAUCCGUAGAUAU